rnacentral:piRNA from 2 species
UGGCAUACUACACAGAUCACUCUGGGC